rnacentral:rRNA from 2 species
CACACCUGUUCCCAUGCCGAACACAGAAGUUAAGCUCCUUAGCGCCGAUGGUAGUCGGACUAACGUUCCGCUAGAGUAGGACGUUGCCAGGC